GUUCGUCCGCCUGAUAUCGGCGUGAGCCCUCUCUUGACGUUUCAAGAGAGCGAGAAAAGUUUCUUGUUGGGAAAUUCUAGGAGAAUGGGCUGCCUGCCUGUGUACACCGGCUUGACUGGUGGCUGGCUGGGUUGUUGCUGUUUUAGAUUCAGCUAAACCACUACGGGCUAUGGUGAGCCCGUAGUGGACUUACCCGGCACAGGAGCGGGGCUGUAACUGCUGACUGGGUUGUAUUUCCACAGGACGCCAUGAGAGAUGCCUCGAAGCACCUCUUCAACAUCUCCAACCACAAGAUCUACUUCAGAAAUAUUACCAUUGUCUUGCCCAAAUAUUGGACUAUGACGGGUAACGUUUACAAUGCCACCACUGCUGAGAACUUUAAGGAGAGUGACAUUCGCGUGGCCCCAGAGAACAGCAUCUAUGGGGACCAGCCCUACACCCUCCAGAUGGGGGAGUGUGGGCACCCCGGCCUCUACACCCAUGUUACUCCAGCCUACCUCACACACUCCCACUUCGUUACCUGGUGGGGACCCAGAGGGCAGGUGUUGACGGAGGAGUGGGCCAAGCUGAGGUGGGGCGUGUUUGGUGUUCCAGGACAGGUGUUGGCGGAGGAGUGGGCCAAGCUGAGGUGGGGCGUGUUUGAUGAGGUGGGCUUCCCGAGCGAUCCCAGGUUCCCGCUUUUCUACUCCGCCGGCCGCAACGAUACCAGACGCCCCACUCUUUGUUCCCGGGAGCCUCUCCCUGGUACUGUGAGGAACGACACCCUCCGCUCUGCUUUCGUUCUCCACAAAGCCACCUCCCUGGGUCAUGCGGGCAACUACUGCACCAGUGAGACCCACAUUAUAGAGGCGCCUAAUAAACAAAACACGUACUGCCAUGGCGGGAGCAUCUGGAGUGUGAUACACAAGCACAGCGAUUAUAAGGCCAGCCCAGGGCCUGGGGUCGAGUGGCAGGAGCCGACUGUAAGAGUAGUGAGGGAGAUCAGCACCUGCUUCUCCUUCUUCCUCGACAACACCGCCAGUGCCUCCGACCUGCUGAGGCAGAGUCUGGCACUCAGACGCUGGGUCAUGUACGAUGUCUCCAACGGCACCUUCGUCACCGUCUUAAAUCCGUGGACCAACAGGAAGGUGGUAAACAGGAAAAUCGUAAACCAAGACACCAGGCUCAAGGCGGCCCUAGAGAUCGCUAAGAUGGAACACGGCAAUCAUACCUCCAACUCCAGUCACUCACUCACGCCUGCUGUUAUGGCGCUGGACUGGAGUAACGGUGUUUUGGUGGCGCUGGCUGGCGGCCGCGGGGUCGCUGUAGAGGAGUCUAUCGCCCGGAAGAUCAAGAGGGAUAUCCGUGUUGUGGUUAUCACUCACAGACCCAGGAUCUUGGAGAAUGUCUCCACGACCAAGGUUGCCUCCGACCAAGAUUUGCGAGUGCUCGCCGGGAAGACGGGUGGCCUGGACCUUGUGGUGCCAGAGAGCAAGUGGCACUUACUCUCCCAGUCCCUCAGAGCCGCCCUCCAAUACGAGCCGUCCGUCACUGUGGCAGACACCACCACUGAGAUCUACGAAGCAGAGGCCAAUGACAGCAAAUCGGACAGUUUUUACGUAGACAGGAGUAUGGGUCGUGACCUGACCUUUCUGCUCUACACUGAUGACUUGGACCAAGUAACCAACGCAAGUCUCAUCAGUCCAAGUUCAAGCCUCAUACCAGGACGUUUCGACGACGUGACGCGGACUUGGAGUAUUACUCUCCCCGAGGCCGAGGCUGGAGAGUGGCAGUGGCAGGCGGAAGUGGAGUUCACCAAGACCUACCACGUGCGGGUCACGUCACGUACAAGAACUGCACAAGACCAUCCUAUCGCCAUCACAUCUUGGCUGAACCAACCGGCUUACAGCGUGAAUGCUACACAACUACCAAUCCUCUACGGGGAAGUCAGACGAGGACCUCACCCCUUCCUCAACGCCUCCGUCAGAGCCUGGCUGCUACACCCGAAUGGCAGCGAGGACUGGCUGGUACUCUCUGACGAUGGCAAGAACGCUGACACAGUGGCCGGCGACGGUAUCUACUCCAGGUUCCUCACCCAGUUCGCCUCCAACGACUACUAUGUGCUCCAGAUAACGGCAGUGGACAACAGCAGCGUCGCUGGCAGAGCCGUCAGCACGAGCAUCAGGAAGCGCAGAAGGGUCGACUCAUCAAACGAACAACAGGACAACGAACUCAUCAAGACAACUCCUCGGGGCGAAAGAGACAAAGCUCGACCCCCGCAAGCACAGUUAGGUGAGGACAUAGCGAGACCUCCGUCACAAGAGGACACAGCGAGACCAUCACAAGAGGACAUAGCGAGACCUCCGUCACAAGAGGACACAGCGAGACCAUCACAAGAGGACAUAGCGAGACCUCCGUCACAAGAGGACACAGCGAGACCAUCACAAGAGGACAUAGCGAGACCUCCAUCACAAGAGGACACAGCGAGACCUCCGUCACAAGAGGACAUAGCGAGACCUCCGUCACAAGAGGACACAGCGAGACCAUCACAAGAGGACAUAGCGAGACCUCCAUCACAAGAGGACACAGCGAGACCUCCAUCACAAGAGGACACAGCGAGACCAUCACAAGAGGACAUAGCGAGACCUCCAUCACAAGAGGACACAGCGAGACCAUCACAAGAGGACAUAGCGAGACCUCCGUCACAAGAGGACACAGCGAGACCAUCACAAGAGGACAUAGCGAGACCUCCGUCACAAGAGGACAUAGCGAGACCAUCACAAGAGGACACAGCGAGACCUCCAUCACAAGAGGACCCCUCUAACAAUACCUUUGACGACUCACCACCACGUGUCACAGAGCAGCCGGACUACUGCUGUGGGAGUGUGGUGCCCAGCGAGCGUGUCCACAGUCCCGACACCGAACGCUUCGCCAGGAAAGGCACCGUACUCAGUCUUCAGGUGAAUGGAGUGACGGCCAACGACACGAGGCCGCCGUGUCGGGUGAUGGACCUGAGGGUGGUGGCGGUGAAGUGGAUGUGGUACUCCUCCAUCAGCGGGAAGCACACUUUCUGCCUGAGUGCCACCUGGACAGCACCCGGGGACGACCUCGAUGUUGGCACAGUGACCAACUACACCUUCCUGCUGUCACCUAACAUAAGAGAUGUCAUCCACUACCCAAGUGCCACCAUGAAGGAGGAGGACGUGCUGGAGGUGAGCCUUGACUGCCACUCGGAGCUGCGGGUGGAGGGUGGCACUGCUGUGGACUUGAGCUUCACCUGGUCACGCCUUCUCGACAAGGAGGAGAUAAUAUACUUCUCCCUCGUCUCUAGGGAUGAAGCAGGAAAUGCAAGUCCAGUCUCUAGAGUCGCCUACUUCACGGCUGUCUUCCUUAAUGACCACAAGUCAAUGGAGCAGCUCAAGAUGGACCUGGUGAUGAUAACAGCAUCAAUCGUCACACUGGCUAUCCUGCUGGCUACCUGCUAUCUUCACAGGGAACACAAGAAGAUCAAGACACAAUAUUCUCCACGUGAAAUGUCUCGAGUGCAGUGCGACCGGAUGCACGACAAUGUAAAUUGUGUAACACAACGACGCGCCAAGCCAGUAUGACUACAUAGCACUUAGGAAGGAGUAUAAUGACAUGAAGUUGGGAUAUAAGGAUAAGGGGCUCGAAUAUAAGGACAUGGAAUUGGGAUAAAAGGGUAAGGAAUUUGGAUCUGGGGAAGAAGAACUGGGAUACAAGGACAGUGAAGGAGCUGUGAUUGAGAGACUGUGAUUCUCCCGAUUACUUCAGAUACGAAAAAUUACUUACAAGGAGAGGUGGGGGGAGGUGCCACGAAUCUGGAUCUCACUACCAGACAGCUGUCAAGAGGGCGUAGGACCGGCGAACGAAGGGAAAGCAUAUAUCAAGCCGGAAUAUCAAUCCAACUCUGAGUGAGACUCUCCUGAAGCUGAGAGAGUAUUGUUUGUCAUCAACGUGUGCCUC
rnacentral:misc_RNA from 1 species